rfam:Chryseobacterium koreense CCTG 49689 contig05, whole genome shotgun sequence.
UAAAAAUGGAGACCAGCUACCAUUGCAAAAAACGGGGCGAAACCGAAAAGCCAAAUGAGUAGGAAACUA